GCCAUUCUUAAAUGAUCACACCGUAGAAGUAGUUGUGCUCUUAAUCAAUGAGAUAUUUUGUGAAUUAACCCCAUCAACUUAAUAGUUUUUUUAACAAUGGAUAAACCUAUUUUUUUUUAUUAUUAUUAAAUAAUAUCAUCUCUGAACAUUAUUAUUCUUAUAAAUGACACGGUUGUAUGUGAUGAUUAUAAUAAAUAUUUAAAACAAA
rnacentral:lncRNA from 1 species